rnacentral:lncRNA from 10 species
UUUAUUUUAUUUAUUUAUUUAUUUUGAGACAGAGUCUCUCUCUGUUGCCCAGGCUGGAAUACAAUAGCACGAUCUCACCCUCUGAGUAGCCAGAACUACACAUGCACACCACUACACCCAACUAAUUUGAAAUUUCUGUAGAGAUGGGGGUCUUGCUAUGUUGCCCAGGCUGGUCUUGAACUUCUGGCCUCAAAGAAUGCUCCCAACUCAGCCACCCAAAGCAUUGGGAUUGCAGCCGUGAGCCACUGCACUCAGCUUCCAUAAAUGUUUGUGACCCCAGAGCAUCCACUCUGCCUU